rnacentral:rRNA from 1 species
AUUGAACGCUAGCGGGAUGCUUUACACAUGCAAGUCGAACGGAGUGGCGGACGGGUGAGUAAUAUAUCGGAACGUGCCCAGUAGCGAGGGAUAAAUACUCGAAAGAGUGGCUAAUACCGCAUACUCUUGGAGACGCCGAUAUCGGAUUAGCUAGUUGGUGGGGUAAAGGCUCACCAAGGCAAAGAUCCGUAGCUGGUUUGCGUGGACGACCAGCCACACUGGGACUGAGAAACGGCCCAGACUCCUACGUGAGGCAGCAGUGGGGAAUUUUGCACAAUGGGGGAAACCCUGAUGCAGCCAUCCCGCGUGUAUGAAGAAGGCCUUAGGGUUGUAAAGUACUUUUUGCAGAGAAGCGGUAUCUGCAGAAGAAGCACCGGCUAACUACGUGCCAGCAGCCGCGGUAAUUC